rnacentral:sRNA from 1 species
CCGUGAGCUGUGUCAACCGGACACGAUGGAGACGAUGAACGCAGGGAUUUUUCCGGUUUCAUCCUGCGGCCAACGAAGCGGCAGCCGAGCGUCCCACCCAUCCGGCUU